AUUUUCGACUGCAUGAAAACCAAGGGACAAAUGGUUAUGCCUGUUUUCUACCAUGUGAAUCCAACUGAAGUGAGAAAACAAACAGGAGAAUAUGGAAAAUCAUUUGCUCACCAUGAACAACGUUUCAACAACUUGCACAAUGUUCAACAAUGGAGAACUGCAAUGACUGCAUUGGCCAAUCUCUCUGGUUGGGAUUUACAGGACAGGUA
rnacentral:misc_RNA from 1 species